GAGUUUUCAUCUGACGCUUGGAUUUGGAGGAAAGAGAGUCUUUGUUAUUGAAAGUAUCAAUCUUUUUCUUCUUAUUCUUGUUAACAUCACCAACGUUAACGUUCUUGAUCUGAUCUUCUUCAUCAGAACCCAUCUCCAUGGAAAAGGUUGAACACACAAAGAGAGAGAGAGAGAGAGAACCAGAAACACGGCCGCAAGAACAAUCAGAGAGGAUAAGAACAAACAACACAACACAACACAAACGAAAAUUAGGGCUUUCCACACCCUUAUCUCUCCCCCUUUAGAUUACUAACUUAUUAACCCACGAAAAAACGUAAAAAAGAAAAUAAAAGAAGAAUAAUAUAUGAGAAUGAACAACAAUAAUAAUAGUAAAAUCGAUAAAGGAAAAACAACAGGGCUCUCGAUUUCAACCUCCUUCAUAUCUUUUUCACUUGUUCUAAUUUAAAUCUUUUGUUUCUUAUUUUUUUUAAAAAGAAAUAAAGGAAAAAAAAAAGGUCGAAACUUGAGGGAUGAUUCUACAGCGGAUCGCGUGCCCUAUGUGUUUAUGAAGCGAUGCAAUCUUUCCCUCACACUUUCCGCCUUUUUCUUAAUUAUUAUUUUUAUUUAAUUUAUUAGUCUAACGAUUAAUACAAGAAGAUAUACUCUUCAAGGCUUGGUCUUGUCUCUUUUUUUGUUUGUCUCUCAGAUCCGCACGGCAGGUUGCAAGACUUUUCUUCUUCUGUUUCUUGUCGACCACGUGCGUACUAGAUAGACAUUUUUGCCGUUUGUUGUUUUAAAGUACACAAUCCUUGCUGUCUUUGAAAGUAUAAUUCAAUCCCAAACCGGUUCAACCUACACUUCCUAAACCCGGUUAUUUAUGUUGUUUGAAAAUAUAUAUUUAAAGGAAAAAAUAAAACUAUACAUCUAAAAUUUUAAAUUAUUAAUAAACAGGAAAUUAAAUUAAAAUAUUAAUAACAUUAAUUUAUGUAUUGUAUAUUAAUUUUAAUAUAUAUAUUAAGUUAUUUGAUUUUUCGUUAUUUUAUCGUUUUAAUAUCUAUUUUUUUAAUAAAAUAUUAUUUAACUGUGAAAUUACAUGUAUAUAUUUAUGUAUGCUCUCCACGUUUUAAUUUGAUAGAUAUUUUCUUAAUGUAUUUUGAGAAAUAAUACAAAGAAAAAAAGACAAUUAAAUUAUAAAUUUAAUCAAAGAAUUAGCCAAAAUUAAGUCAACAUAAAAUAUACUACAAUGGAAAUUGUACGCAUGUUUUCCCAAAGAGAAAUUUUCUAGGAUACAUUUUUUAGUUUAUCUUCAUAAAAAUAGUGUUCAAUGAAAAAAAUAACCAAAAUAGAUUUUAUUAAAAGGUAAAAAUACAUUUUACCCUAUAGUUAAUUAAUCAAGACUUAACGGGUGAGAUUUUGGGUUUAGAAUUUUAAAUUUUAAAAUAUAAAAAAUAUAAAAAAUAAAAAAUUUAAAAUAAAAUGAACUAUUUUGAUCAUUUUUUUCUACUAGAGUUAUUUUGUGACAAAAACUUUAAAAAAAAUAUUUGUGAGAAUUGUCUUUCCCAAAUCACAUAGAGAUGGUGUCUUUGUAGUGCAUUGCCUUUUUUGGCUCAAUGCUUUUCAAUGUUUUUCUUUUGCUUUCCCGUUCAAUGAAAUUGUAUUAUCUUUUUGUUAGAACUGUUGCAUGUAUAUAAUAGAUGCUAGCGACUAAAUCUCUUGGAAAUAAUGGGAUGACUUGUUGGUUGAUGAAAAUCCAGCAUAAGUGUUCUAAUCAGCACUUGGUCAAAUAUGAUUUUGAUGCAUCUAAGCACAUACAAUCUCAAUAAGGUAAAAAGUUUAUUUCUUCUUGUUCUUGACAGUUUAUUCUGAUUUUUUAUUAUUAUAUGCUAAUUCUAAUGUUUUGCUCACUUGAUUUUGUGAAUCGACUGGCUCUGAUAAUAUAAAAGCUUUUGUUGAGUCGACUAUACAGAAGGUAGUGCUAAUACACUUAACUGAGUGUGAGAAGUUGAUACAAGAUGCAGAAAAUCGGAUUCGUGAUCUGCAAUUUUUCAUUCUCUGUCGAGAUUAGUUUGAUUCUCUAAGAAACUAUAUGAUUUGCUUAUGUUUCUCCACUGUUGCUGUGAUUGUAUUUGAUAAUUCCUCAUUUGAUGUGCGUUUACGAUUUACAUUUUCUUUUUGUUAGAAAUAUAUAUAUAUAUAUGCUAGCAACUAAAUCUCCUGGAAACAAUGGGAUGACUUGUUGGUUGAUGAUAUGUACAAGAGAAUAUGAUAACAUAAGGAUUGUACGUAAGAGAAGAAGAUGCACGCGAAUGUAAUUGAUCCAUAUUCUUACAAAAAGAUUAAAACCAUUUUUGCAAUAUAAUUAACAUUCACCACAAAAAAGAAGAAGAAGAAGAAGCAUGUAAAGGCAGAGGAAACGAGAUGGUUGCCGGAUUGUGUGGUUGUUAGAACUGAUGGCGCUAGAGAGUUCAUCUACUAAUGAGGGCAACCGAACCGAUACUCCAAAUGGAUUCUCUAUAUAUAUGCUAUAAAGUUUUUUUUUCUUCUGUAUAUGCUUAAUUUAGACGGUAAAAUCAAUGAAUAUGCAAAAGUCAAACACAAGCCAAUAAACACUUGUUCAACGCUAACAUACCAGACUUGGAACUCGACCCACUUAUUUCUGCUUAGGUAUGUGUUCCAGACGACACUAUCAACUAUUUGGAAAGAGAGGAAUGGGAGAAGGCAUGGAGAACUCUCCAACACUCCUGCAACUCUGAUAAAAAACGUGGACAAGGCUGUCAUCUCUAGUUUGCGUUCCAUGGGAAUUUUAUGGAACUAUGGUUUUUAGUUAGAUAAACUUUUAUUUCUUUUUCAAUUCCUUAAGAAACUCUCUAAACACUCAACUUAUGUUCCAGUCAUUGUAAAAAAGUUUUUUUUUCUUGAAUAAAUCUAACAUUCAUUCAAAAAAAAAAACAAUUGUACAACUUAGAAAGCUGUAGCUUUAAGCCUUUAACUUCGGCUUUUAAGACUUUAACUUUACCAUCAGCAUCUCUUGACUUAUCCGCUAAAACAUGAAGCUCGAUGUUGGUUGUUGCCAAGGCAGCCCAUAGCUGAAGCAAAAGUAGCCCCAGCCCUGGCAAGUUGGCAGAAUAUAAUUUUGCACGAAACGUGUCCUAUGUUUUCGCAUUGUUGGAAUAAUACGGACCUCAAUGAACGGAAAAGAUAAGUCUCAAUACGGACAUAACUUAAGAAUCAUUGAAGCAUUGUUGGAGUAACAUUGGAGAACAUCAAGGUACACAAUAUAUGUUCUCAGAAAAGAUCACACGAAAAAGUCAAAAACAUAAAGAGAAUCACUGGAGAACGUUAAUUAAGCACCUAAGACGGUGCUCUACAAAAAAACAAAGUAACAUUGAGAACCGAAGGCGGUGGCUCUACAAAGAAAAGAGACUCUCGAUGUGAUUUGGGAAAACAUCCAUAGUGAGCGUGUGGCUGCUAGAAAGUCCACAACGGCGUCUAAACUCACCCAUAUUUCUUUCAAAAAACACUUCUCUAGUACUGCUUCUCCUCGGAUCUAAAUAUAAAAUAUAAAAGGCUUCUUUGAAACGACAUGGAGCAAAAAUAAACUCACCAGCAUCAGUAAUGCCCCUGAAACGUAUACAAUCCCUCCGUAGGUUCUCACAUGGUAAAUGAAGAACAAAGACGUUCUUGAUCUGAUCUUCUUCAUCAGAACCCAUCUCCAUGGAAAAGGUUGAACACACAAAGAGAGAGAGAGAGAGAGAACCAGAAACACGGCCGCAAGAACAAUCAGAGAGGAUAAGAACAAACAACACAACACAACACAAACGAAAAUUAGGGCUUUCCACACCCUUAUCUCUCCCCCUUUAGAUUACUAACUUAUUAACCCACGAAAAAACGUAAAAAAGAAAAUAAAAGAAGAAUAAUAUAUGAGAAUGAACAACAAUAAUAAUAGUAAAAUCGAUAAAGGAAAAACAACAGGGCUCUCGAUUUCAACCUCCUUCAUAUCUUUUUCACUUGUUCUAAUUUAAAUCUU
rnacentral:lncRNA from 1 species